AUUGAACGCUGGCGGCAUGCUUUACACAUGCAAGUCGAACGGCAGCGCGGGGGCAACCCUGGCGGCGAGUGGCGAACGGGUGAGUAAUGCAUCGGAACGUAUCCUGUAAUGGGGGAUAACGUAGCGAAAGUUACGCUAAUACCGCAUACGCUCGAGAGAGGAAAGUGGGGGAUCGCAAGACCUCACGUUAUAGGAGCGGCCGAUGUCCGAUUAGCUAGUUGGUGGGGUAAAGGCCUACCAAGGCGACGAUCGGUAGCUGGUCUGAGAGGAUGAUCAGCCACACUGGGACUGAGACACGGCCCAGACUCCUACGGGAGGCAGCAGUGGGGAAUUUUGGUACAAUAGG
rnacentral:rRNA from 1 species